GUGGUGUCCUCCAAUUUCUGCCCCGGCGGGUGUGCCCCAGCCCACAACAUUCUCUGGACCCCUUCUGGGCAGCGCUCAGGACCCCCACUUGUCGGAAAGGGAGGAUGAGGGUCCCCUUAGCCCCACCUCCCGCGCUAUUACACCCCCCCCCCCUCCGGAGCCGAGGGACAGACAGAGAAUUGCAACUAGAAAUUCGAUCUAUUGGUACGAGACACCACGUGCUCGCGGGCUGGCCAAUGACCAGGCCGCCCCGGAUGAGCUAAUAAUGGAAGCAAUUUGUAACUUUCAGUAGCUCUCUAGGCCUAGGUACCGGUGGGAGGGAGGCUGGCGGAGGGGGAGACAGCACCCCCCAGUUUUUUUGCCCAGCCUGUUUGUCUAGGGAAACUCGGAUCCCCGGGCCCUCCUUUUUCUUUACAGCAGUGUUCUUCGUUCCACUCCUGACCGACAGCACAGCCAGGGCCUUCUAUUCCAACACCUCUUCCAGCGACCUGGUCAGGUGUGGCCAAUGGAAGCAAGAGCCCAGUGAAGUCGCCUAAGUCCGAGGGCAUGGUGUAACUCACACGGAGCACAACCCUACUUGGAAUGGACCAUUCGUGGCUUUAGAAUCUUGAUGGACACGAGCAACUGUCGGCACAAUCUAUUUAAGAGUAUUCUGAGCCCUCAGAGAGCAGCCUUCUGCCCACAGGUGACCAAAUCCUUAUCCUCAAUAACCCUUCUAACUGAGCAGCCAACGAGCUGCCCUCUACCUAUUCAGGACAGCCUAGGAAUGGCUUCAUGCAGUAGGUGGCCUUCUGUGAUUGGCUCCUUUUCCUUGGUUCUUAUGCGUUGCUGUGUCAAAGCACGCAUCCAUUCUCCUUCCUUCUCAUGGAUGAGUUACUUCAACGGUAGACAGACCACCUUCCAGAAACUGCCCUACCUGCAUCAAUCCUAACAUACCAGUGGGACCAGCAGGAUGCAUACAAGAAGUCCAAAUAGUGCCAGGUUGCAUUUGUUGAAUGAGUGGAUGAGGGAUGAUUCCAUACUCUGGAAAUAAACUGUGGAGAAGGUCAGUUAUAAAUCUCUAUCUAUUACUACCCCUUUCCUAGUCUGGAAAUCAGCAUUUUCCUCACAAAGGUGGGUGAAGAAAGCACAAAAUGCUACCUCUAUAAUAGCUGCUAUUUAUUGGACCGGCAUUUAUAUGUCUGAUUGGUUUCAUAUCUCUCUCUCUCUCUCUCUCUCUCUCUCUCUCUCUCUCUCCCUCUCUCAGGCAAAGUUUCACAUAGCCCAGGCUGACCUGGAAUUUUCACAAUGUGACCGAGAAUAACCUUGAGCUUUUGAUCCUCCUGUUUCUAAUCCCAAGUGCUGGGAUCACAGGUGUGUGCGGAGACACUUGAUUUACUUGGUGCUGGGAAUAAAACCCAAGGCUUCUUGCACACUAUUCUACCGACUUCGCCAACAUGCUUUUCACCUCCUGAGCAAGUAUAAUAAAACUCAUUUUAAUUUCUC
rnacentral:lncRNA from 1 species